UACAGAGGGUGCAAGCGUUGUUCGGAAUUAUUGGGCGUAAAGCGCGUGUAGGCGGCUUAGCAAGUCGGGCGUGAAAGCCCUCAGCUCAACUGAGGAAGUGCACCCGAAACUGCUGAGCUUGAGUGCCGGAGAGGAUGGCGGAAUUCCCCAAGUAGAGGUGAAAUUCGUAGAUAUGGGGAGGAACACCGGUGGCGAAGGCGGCCAUCUGGACGGUAACUGACGCUGAGACGCGAAAGCGUGGGGAGCGAACAGG
rnacentral:rRNA from 1 species